CGCGGGGUGGAGCAGCUUGGUAGCUCGUCAGGCUCAUAACCUGAAGGUCGCAGGUUCAAAUCCUGCCCCCGCAA
rnacentral:tRNA from 1 species